rnacentral:piRNA from 1 species
UUACACGUUUUUGUCUUGCCU